rnacentral:rRNA from 1 species
GACGAACGCUGGCGGCGUGCUUAACACAUGCAAGUCGAACGGAAAGGCCCUGCUUUUGUGGGGUGCUCGAGUGGCGAACGGGUGAGUAACACGUGAGUAACCUGCCCUUGACUUUGGGAUAACUUCAGGAAACUGGGGCUAAUACCGGAUAUGAGCUCCUGCUGCAUGGUGGGGGUUGGAAAGUUUCGGCGGUUGGGGAUGGACUCGCGGCUUAUCAGCUUGUUGGUGGGGUAGUGGCUUACCAAGGCUUUGACGGGUAGCCGGCCUGAGAGGGUGACCGGCCACAUUGGGACUGAGAUACGGCCCAGACUCCUACGGGAGGCAGCAGUGGGGAAUAUUGCACAAUGGGCGGAAGCCUGAUGCAGCAACGCCGCGUGCGGGAUGACGGCCUUCGGGUUGUAAACCGCUUCCGCCUGUGACGAAGCGUGAGUGACGGUAAUGGGUAAAGAAGCACCGGCUAACUACGUG